GGGGAAUUUUCCGCAAUGGGCGAAAGCCUGACGGAGCAAGUACCGCGUGGGGGAUGAAGGUUUGUGGAUUGUAAACCCCUUUUGAUUGGGAAGAAUACUGACGGUACCAAUCGAAUAAGCCUCGGCUAACUCCGUGCCAGCAGCCGCGGUAAUACGGAGGAGGCAAGCGUUAUCCGGAAUUAUUGGGCGUAAAGCGUCCGUAGGUGGUUUAGUAAGUCUGCUGUUAAAGCGCGGGGCUUAACUCCGNUAUCGGCAGUGGAAACUACUAGACUAGAGUGUGGUAGGGGUAGAGGGAAUUCCCAGUGUAGCGGUGAAAUGCGUAGAUAUUGGGAAGAACACCGGUGGCGAAAGCGCUCUACUGGGCCAUAACUGACACUGAUGGACGAAAGCUAGGGGAGCGAAAGGGAUUAGAUACCCCU
rnacentral:rRNA from 1 species